GAACCCAACAUGUCAACGGAGAGGUUCUGCAGCAGUCUGAGCGUUUAAAACAUGGAGAUGUGAUAACUAUUAUUGAUCGUUCUUUCAGGAGAGUGUGUUCGUAAACCAAUUUGCUUUAAACAGAAUAUAUUUUUACAGGCCUAAAUGCUAAAUAACCUAGGAGUGUAGUCAGCUGUAAAUAGCUUCCUUUUGUUUUUUGUUUUUUUAUUUCAGGUUUGAGUACCCUCCAGCACCUACACCAAAGAAGAGAUCCUCCAUAGGGGGCAAAGCUGAAACCCUCAAAGUUCGUCAAGAUCAGCAAGCAGGUGAUGCUGCCAUUGUUGAAGCAGGAGAAAAGAGGACCUCUGAAGUAUCCACAGAUCCCCAUCUUAAAGAUGGAGAUAACCAUGACAACAUCCAGCGAUCCCUGGAAAAAACAUUGAAGUGGAACCAAAGGAGGAUAGUAGUGUGCUGCAAAACAAGACCAUGUCCCCCUUCAGUGACCUGUAUUAAAUGGCCAAAAAAUCUCUGGAAGUCAAGACCCCUUGGAAAUCUUUUGCCGGUCAGCCUCAGACACCGUCCUCAAAACGUUGCACUCCCAGACCUGGCUCAGUCAGAAAGAAUGCUGGAAAACCUUUCUCCACAGAAGUUAAAAGCAUUCCUAAGAACGACAAUGACUUUACUGGAGCUGAAACUCCGCAGUGUGUGAAGAAGCAGAGAA
rnacentral:lncRNA from 1 species